rnacentral:rRNA from 1 species
AGAGUUUGAUCCUGGCUCAGGACGAACGCUGGCGGCGUGCUUAACACAUGCAAGUCGAGCGGAAAGGCCUCUUCGGAGGUACUCGAGUGGCGAACGGGUGAGUAACACGUGGGCAAUCUGCCCUGCACUUCGGGAUAAGCCUGGGAAACUGGGUCUAAUACCGGAUAGGACCUCAAGACGCAUGUCUUCUGGUGGAAAGCUUUUGCGGUGUGGGAUGGGCCCGCGGCCUAUCAGCUUGUUGGUGGGGUGACGGCCUACCAAGGCGACGACGGGUAGCCGGCCUGAGAGGGUGUCCGGCCACACUGGGACUGAGAUACGGCUCAGACUCCUACGGGAGGCAGCAGAAGGG